AUGCUUGUCUUGACAGGUGUAAUUUUGGGAAUUGAACAAAUUACAGGGGAGAUUCUGCCGAAUUUUCGGUAGAAGUCAAGGCUAAAAUGAAAUUAAGUUUGUAACCAGAAGGGCAACCAGGUCAUUUAUACUCGGCACCUGCCAGGUGUCGAUCACGAAUAGGGUUCGGCUCGGAUUCCAAAGGAGAAUUUGGGUCGGGUCCUGUCAACACAUGUCCAUUGCAGGUGAUUCAGGCAACAAAGUGUGUAUAUUUAACAUACACUUGGCUUUACACCUCCCAUCCCUCUCCCCGCGGGGGUGAUGCACUGAGACCUCCUUCCUGACCUCUUGGUAUGAAUCCUGUAAAAAUUCAUGAGUAAGAAAAUCAAGCAAUGAAUU
rnacentral:lncRNA from 1 species